rnacentral:rRNA from 1 species
CAGCCGCCGCGGUAAUACGUAGGUGGCAAGCGUUGUCCGGAAUUAUUGGGCGUAAAGGGCUCGCAGGCGGUUUCUUAAGUCUGAUGUGAAAGCCCCCGGCUCAACCGGGGAGGGUCAUUGGAAACUGGGAAACUUGAGUGCAGAAGAGGAGAGUGGAAUUCCACGUGUAGCGGUGAAAUGCGUAGAGAUGUGGAGGAACACCAGUGGCGAAGGCGACUCUCUGGUCUGUAACUGACGCUGAGGAGCGAAAGCGUGGGGAGCAAAUGGGAUUAGAUACCCGUGUAGUCCCUGUCUCUUAUAC